UACGUAGGGGGCAAGCGUUGUCCGGAAUUAUUGGGCGUAAAGAGCUCGUAGGCGGUUUGUCGCGUCGGUUGUGAAAGCCCGGGGCUUAACCCUGGGUCUGCAGUCGAUACGGGCAGGCUAGAGUUCGGUAGGGGAGACUGGAAUUCCUGGUGUAGCGGUGAAAUGCGCAGAUAUCAGGAGGAACACCGGUGGCGAAGGCGGGUCUCUGGGCCGAUACUGACGCUGAGGAGCGAAAGCGUGGGGAGCGAACAGG
rnacentral:rRNA from 1 species